CAGACGAUGCGUCAUGCAUAUCAAUAAGCGGAGGAAAAGAAACUAACAAGGAUUCCCUCAGUAACGGCGAGUGAAGCGGGAAGAGCUCAAAUUUGAAAUCUUAAAGGGUUUCCCUUUACGAAUUGUAGUUUAAAGAAGUGUUUUCUGUUGAGGUUUUGGUAAAAGUUCUUUGGAAUAGGACAUCAUAGAGGGUGAGAAUCCCGUAUUUGACCAUUAUUUUCAGCUUUGUGAUACACUUUCAAAGAGUCGGAUUGUUUGGGAAUGCAGUCCAAAAUGGGUGGUAAAUUUCAUCUAAAGCUAAAUAUUGGCGAGAGACCGAUAGCGAACAAGUACCGUGAGGGAAAGAUGAAAAGAACUUUGAAAAGAGAGUUAAACAGUACAUGAAAUUGUCAAAAGGGAAGCGUUUGACACCAGUGUUGUUUUCUCGAAAAUCAAUUAAAAAUGGCUCGAUUUUGUAUUGCUUGAGACCUUAAAAGCUCACUGUACAUUUUUCGUGUCUUUUUUAAUGCACUUUUCGUUUAACAAGUCAACAUCAGUUUCUUUUGUUGUAAAAGGGUCAUUGGAAGGUGGCUUUCUUUUCGGAGAAAGUGUUUAUAGCCCUUGGCCUCUGCAAUCGGAGAGACUGAGGUCUGCAGCGUAGACUCUUCGGGGUUAGAUACAUUUGUGCUAAGUUAUAGCUUUUUAUAGACAACUUGUUGACUAUAAUUAGUCUUGUAGCUUACUCGCUUAUGCUAUUUUACCUACGCUUAGGAUGUUGACUGAUAUGUAGUCGUA
rnacentral:rRNA from 1 species